CUAACAAAUGCAAUACAUACAAUACAUACACACAGACUGCUGAAUACAUUCACUGACUGCUGAAUACACACACAGCUAAAUACAUUCACAAACUGCUGUUUCUGCAAAGCGUCACAUAUUCAGUUCAGUGCUAAACAGACAAGGACAUGGCACACGGACCACUUCAUUGAGAGGAAGUGGCCUGGAUGUCUAUAGAGUCACUUUAAAUUUUGAAAUUCACUGUGUGUUACCAUGUAUAAGAAGACUGAAUGCUCUUAAGUCAGAGAAGAAAGGUAAUUUUGCAUUCCUCUCCUGCGGGUCACUUC